rnacentral:rRNA from 1 species
UACAGAGGGUGCAAGCGUUGUUCGGAAUUAUUGGGCGUAAAGCGCGUGUAGGCGGCUUGGCAAGUCGGGUGUGAAAGCCCUCAGCUCAACUGAGGAAGUGCGCCCGAAACUGCUUGGCUUGAGUACCGGAGAGGAUGGUGGAAUUCCCGAAGUAGAGGUGAAAUUCGUAGAUAUCGGGAGGAACACCGGUGGCGAAGGCGACCAUCUGGACGGAUACUGACGCUGAGACGCGAAAGCGUGGGGAGCAAACAGG